rnacentral:rRNA from 1 species
UACGGAGGGUGCAAGCGUUGUUCGGAAUUAUUGGGCGUAAAGCGCGUGUAGGCGGCUCUCUAAGUCUGAUGUGAAAGCCCGGGGCUUAACUCCGGAAGUGCAUUGGAUACUGGAGGGCUAGAGGACGAGAGAGGGAAGUGGAAUUCCUGGUGUAGGGGUGAAAUCCGUAGAUAUCAGGAGGAACAUCUGUGGCGAAGGCGGCUUCCUGGCUCGUUUCUGACGCUGAGACGCGAAAGCGUGGGGAGCAAACAGG